CAGCGAAGAUGGAUAGCUGGUCUUGAGAUGACAGGCACGGCAUCAGCGGGGCCGCACUUUGCUCAGGACAGGAGCCAAAGGCACGUAAACAGCAAUGUGAAACAGAGAAGCAGAGAUGGCAAAAACAGUUGUUUUUCUCCAAACAUGACAAGCCCACGGCCAUCUGCGACAGGCGGCGUGGGCCAACAGUGUUAGGAAGUGUGAGAAAGAUUGUCAGAAGCAUACUGGCUGCUCUCACACACACCAACAGACCAUCUCAGAGGCACAGAUAUAGAUCUGCUAGCUAGAAGCAGCCAGGGAUGCAGGACAUUUUGACAAGACACAAGUAGGUCAUUGUGGAGAGAAUCAACGCACCCUGGAGAACCCAACCAUGGUCAAGUUGAAUGAAGUGCUUUUAGAAAGGAACUGUCACAACUCUAAAUAUGGAUGUUCGUCAACACAAUAAACCUGUGGUCUGCGGCACUGCCCCAUAUCAUCGUCUGUACUGUGUGUACAACAGGAGAUGAUUAGGUACCCAGUCAAGGGAAAAACUUGAAAUCGAUGCUUCAUUUCACUGACAAUAUUGUGAAUCACAAAGAUGAUAUUGUAUAAUGCUACAUGUACAUGCAUGCUGCUUCAUUAAAACGCAUACGGUGGUCCUGCUCA